AUUGAACGCUGGCGGCAGGCUUAACACAUGCAAGUCGAGCGGAGAGAGGUAGCUUGCUACUGAUCUUAGCGGCGGACGGGUGAGUAAUGCUUAGGAAUCUGCCUAUUAGUGGGGGACAACAUUUCGAAAGGAACGCUAAUACCGCAUACGUCCUACGGGAGAAAGUGGGGGAUCUUCGGACCUCACGCUAUCAGAUGAGCCUAGGUCGGAUUAGCUAGUUGGUGAGGUAAAGGCUCACCAAGGCGACGAUCUGUAGCGGGUCUGAGAGGAUGAUCCGCCACACUGGAGCUGAGACACGGUCCAGACUCCUACGGGAGGCAGCAGUGGGGAAUUUUGGACAAUGGGGGCAACCCUGAUCCAGCCAUGCCGCGUGAGUGAAGAAAGCCUUUUGGUUGUAAAGCACUUUAAGCGAGGAGGAGGAGCUCUAGGUUAAUACCCUAGAUGCUUGGACGUUACUCGCAGAAUAAGCACCGGCUAACUCUGUGCCAGCAGCCGCGGUAAAAC
rnacentral:rRNA from 1 species